rnacentral:lncRNA from 1 species
AAUGCUUACAGAUAACAGCCAACCAGUCAUUGCAGUGCUUCUUUUACAGCCAACCAGUCAUUGCAGUGCUUCUUGUACUGUAUUUUCUUUAAACCCCUCCUGUCUGAAAUAAGGACACUUCUCUUUUUAUUUAUUUAAUGGGGAUGUUAUAGAAACUAAUAGUUUCAUAGAUAAAGUAGUAAAAUUUGUAUGGGAGGAAUUUAGCUUACUUAGGAACUUGAAAAAGAGUAGAGAGACUAGGAGUUAGCAGACCAAGAUUCUUCUGUUGAUUAUCUUUUAAAAAGACUAAAAACUUUCCCCUAACUUACCCUGUUGUGAAAAUGAGUGAGAUGCAUCUGAUGUCCCUGUCAACCCCCACUGUAGCAACAAAGGAGCAAAGACAAAUAAGCAAACAAAAAGAGCUAUGUGUAGUAGUCAUAAGUGUUAGUCAACAAAUAUUCUUAAAUUAUCUCAAUAUUAGUAGAGCAAUGCUAUAAAAAGUUUAAAUAUAUGUUAAAGCUGUAAAUGGUACUCUCCUGCUGCCAUGCCAGAAAGCUGACUUUUUGCUCACUUCCCAUAGCAAUGUCUACUUUUGACUUUCAUAGGGAAUGCUGUAUAAAUGCAAAGAUAAAAUGAAACUUCCACUGAAAAAAAUAAUGUACUAGCAAAUUACUGAUGAGGUUAAUUUUAAGGAGGACAUAGAGGCUUGGUAAUAAAGGUCACAGAGCAGAUUUGCUGAUUAUUAUAUAUGUAAUUACAAAAAGUCAUUAAAUUAAGGCAAAGUAGAUUCUUUUGAUAAGAAAAUAAAAACCCAUUCUUAAAAAUUGAUUGAAAGUAAAAGCAUGAAUUAAAAAUAAAGUCAUGGUAAAAUAUCACACAGAAAUGGUGACCUUCAGCCAAUUAACUGGAUAUUAGUCUUGUCAUGAAAUAAAAAAAGCAUUUGUUGAAGGAUCAUGAUGCCAAUAUCUCCUAAUAUUUAAUUUCACCCAUGUCACUCUACAAUUUGAGUUUCAUUCCCUUCGCUGAACAGGGUGUCUAAAGUUCUUCUAAAUCCUUUCACUGGUGCAAUUCUAGAUCUCUCUGUCUUCACCCCUCUGACCUUAGUCUCAGGGACAUUAGGGUCUCUGCCUCUUUAUAUAACUCAGUCCACACAUUCACAGGGGUCUUUCUUCAGUACUGUACUUUCUUUCAGUACUGUACCCAUUCAUGCUAAUGACUUCCAAAGCCCCAGUCUUUUUUUGCUAUCUCUCCUUUGUAGAAUUCAGAAAAAAGGUCUGUUACCAUCUUAAUUCAAAUGACUGAGCUUUCCUUCACUCCCUUGUCCUUCCAAGUGCCUUAUAUGUUACUCUGCAAGAGAGUACUGCUCAGAUAAUCUACUGAUGACCAAAAGAAAACAUCUUUAAACUUACAUCUCCCGAAAGAACCUAUCCUUACCACCAGUAGGUGACUUUGCAAAAGGGUGUUAAAUAACUCACUGGGUAGAGGUGGAAAGAAAAUAACAACACAAACUUGUUGACUCAUAGAUUAAAAAGCCUCAGAAGAUUAUAGAGGACUCUGUAGGUGAUAAAACUUAGGGAAAGUGAAAAAGAUAUAGCUCCUCAGUACAACUUGUUCCAAGCGAUGUCCUCUCAUUUAAUGGAGAGAACAUAAGAUGAAAGUGGUGGGUAAUAGACUUCCUUUGUUCAAGCCUAGGUUGGACCACUGACCAUAUAAAACCCUCUCAACCUCAGUUUCUCCUUUGUCAAAGCGUUUUGCCCCCUAACUUCUGUGCUAACGUGAAAUGGAAUACAUGAAAACAACUUGAAGUACUAAGCAAUAUAAAUAGAAGGUAGUUAUACUACUAUAAUGAUCAGUUUGGGGAUGUGGGGUUGCUACGGUCUCAGUGAGAACAUGUGUUCCAUGAUUGUAGUGAAGUGCUUAUUUACUUGUUCACUAGCUUAUUGCUGUUCUCCCCAACUAAAUUGUAUACUCCAGAGUUCCCAUCAUGGUGCAGUGGAAACAAAUCUGACUAGGAACGAUGAGGUUCCAAGGCUAGGGGUUGAAUCGGAGCUGUAGCCACUGGCCUACGCCAGAGCCACAGCAACGCGGAAUCCGAGCCGCAUCUGCAACCUACACCACAGCUCACGGCAACGCCGGAUCGUUAACCCACUGAGCAAGGGCAGGGACCGAACCCGCAACCUCAUGGUUCCUAGUCGGAUUCGUUAACCACUGCGCCACGACGGGAACUCCCUUGGCUUAGGUUUUUAAUGUCUGGGGUUAUGGGAACCCAAUCAGUCAAGAGCAAAAUAGAACCAUUUAGAAUGGACCAAACUGUGUCUGAUAAAAUAAUUUCCAAAAAAAAAAAAAAAA